CGGGGCUUGCCUGGGAUAAACACUACGUUAGUGUUGUUAAAUGAUGACCACUUUGUGAGCAUCUUCCGUCUCGGCACUUGGUUGAUUCAUCCACUUUAGCUCCGUCCAUUAGCAUCGUCUUGUGAUUAAUCCAUCUCUUGUCCUCCAUAUCACGUGAUCAAUUAGCGUACCUAAAUGAUAUGCAUAAUGCACAUAUAUGAACAUAGGAAGGAAUAAUAAGACUAAACAAUGUCACAAGGAAGAAAACUCAAUAUUACAGGCAAGAUCUCACCAACAUACAUAAUCAAACAUGAGAGAAAAUCUACACAAUCAUGAUCCUCGAGUUAAUCGAACCUAAUUCAAACAUUAGGCAACAUAACUAAACACAAGCCUUAGGCUAAAGCAUAACAUCGAUAGGUUACUACUUGUAGACUUAUCAAUUUCGGAUACUUAAUUUAGGUUUAUGAAUAGAAGUAUUUCAACUAGUUCUUAGAACUACUAAUCUAACCUAUUAGGCAUAACACAUCAACCAAACAAAUUAUUACAAUCAUUCGAUCAAGCAAGUAAACAUUAUCAAGAUCAUAGACAUUUGUAAGACUAUAAGCAAUAAAGGGUAACAUCACGGAUAGACGAGAGAAGUGAUAAAUUUUACUACUUGCAUUACUAUUUCAUUAUGCACAUACAAGGCCUAAAUUGUCACUACUCAAAUACAUUCACCAAGGCAUUUACUUCCUUCUCCAAAAUGCUAAAGUCUAAAGCAAGCAUUAAGAAAGAAAAGAAACAACCAUUUGCCACUACAAGACUUCAUUAAUCAAGACAAGAACUAACCAAAUAUAAGUAUCCUCACAAAAGAAACUCCAAGUAAUCAUUUCAUAUUUGCUGAAUUUGUACAGCAGAACAGCAGCUAGUUGUUUUAUUUAUAACUUACACAAUAUUCAUCAAAAAAUAGUAAACUAAGACUUUUUGGAAAGCUUAUAAAGUCCUCUACAAUUUUGGUAUUAUCAUCACAAUGAGAUUCGACAUAUAGAAAUGUCAAACAGUACUAAACGCAAUUUCUGUCCAGAUUUGGACAGAAUUCGGCCACUCACUUUAAAAUUCCAUAACUGGAGUUUCAGACAUCCAAAUCAGGUGAUCCUAGAAUUUUUAGAAAGCUAAUAGAAUUGUCUACAAUUCAUUUAUAAUCAUCUCAAGGUGAUUAAAUGUGUAUCGAAAUCAGUUAAUACAAACAAACAUUGCUGUCCAGAUUUGUACAGAUUCAGAGAUACUAACUCAAACAGCUGUAACUUAAUUUAUAGAUCACCAAAAAGGGUGAUCCAAAAUCUGUUGGAAAUCUUAAGAAAAGUAUUACAAUUCUUCUAUAAUUACUAAGGGCUGAUUAUAAGUUUAAUUUAGUCAAACAAAGCAAUUUUCGAAAUCAGUACAGAAUCUGGACAGAUUCUGAAACUGGACUUGGGAAAAUCAUAACUUCUAAACUGCUAAGUCUAUGGUCAUGAAAUUUUUACACAAGCAAGAUAAAGAAGUGAGUGUCAUGUGGGGCCUCCCCUAUAACCGUCGGAGGCGCGCAAGAGACGGGAGGCGCGCUGCAGAAAGAGCAGCAGCCAGUGCCACGUCAGCAGCAGAAAAGGAAAGCCAAGAAAUCAGUGGCUAGAAGAAGGAAAGAAUCAAAGGACAUGCAGCCGCCACCUCUAUAGAAGGAAGGGCGGCUAGAAGAAGAAAUAAAUUAGUAGAGAUCCUAAAUCAUAGAGAUCAGUUUCCUUUUAGUAGAGAUCCUAAAUCAGAAGGAUUAGUUUCCCCUUUCUGUUACACCGUAGGCUAUAAAGCCUUGUAGCUGGCUCCUUUGAGGGACAAGCAAUAACACAGUUAUUUCCUCCAUUCUCCCUACCACUCUCAAGCCUUCGGAAGAGGGGUAAAACCUCUCCGGAGAAGACGGACCGGGGGUACGACCUACGUAGCCGAGGGCCCCCUUCCCUAGACUCUAAGGCCCUUGACAGUGAGCUACAACUUUCCUAUAUAACAUGUCUACAGAAAACAUGGUUUGCUUUGUUAAAUUAGCUGCGCAAUUAAAAUUGUACCUAUAGCUCUAAACAGUAAUAUAUUCAAUUUAGCUCCUAUUCGGCUUCUACAACUGUCAUGUGCUUAGUACUUCAAAUACUACUAACACCUUAUCUUAAAGUAGACUUAAAAACCAUCUAAUAUAACACAGCAUACAUAUUACCAAUUAGAUGAGCUAAAAGGACCAUAACUACUUGAAUAACCCACUAGAGCCCUAACGUGUGGAAAUUUGGCAAUUUACCCUCCCCCUUGACAUGUUCAUUUACCAACUAUCGCGCAUAUGGACAACGAUGGAUCUGAAAGUCGACACACAAUAUGCUUACACUACAGACAAGAAAAUCAUCGGCCACAACUCUAAUCAAUACAACAAUCAAAUUAACUAAAUAGAGUAGCGAAAAGGCUCGCCACAUCACAAUUCACCUCAACUCAAUAUUCGCACGAACGACGAUAGCCUUUUGAUUGAAGUUUUCUAUCGAACCUCUUGCAAGUGAUGCGCACAAACCUUUUCUUCAUCACCCAAAUCCUGGGGUUCCUCUCCCCAAAACGCUAAGGAUUUCAGUCCACAUCAAACACAGAAACUCAUAUAUGGUUAAUAUAAAGAUGUAGGUACCAAGUCAUGAACAUCAAGCCUCACCGAUGAGGAACACAAUAUGUGGACUGCAUACAAGACUGGCGGGGUCGCGGAUGAGAAACGACGACAAUUUCAUGGUUCUCCCAUUUCGUCGAACACCUAGAGCACCGAACGGGAUGGACAUCGUCACUGUCGGGGCUGCGCAGACACGGCGAGCUGCAGGGACACAAAAACUUGGGCACCGAGAACCAAACUUGAGGAAAGGGAAGGGGAAAACAGCACCUGCGAUGGGGGUGAUUUCUUGGGCGAGCUCGCCAUGGGAAGAAAACUAGGCGCCAUGGAAGAGGCUCCUGCAGGGACGACGGCCGACGCGCAGCACGCAGGGGCACGACGGGGUUCACUGAAAGCCGGUUAAGGAGGGCUCUGGAAUUCCAACAGAGACAAGGUUAUGGCACGUGGUUGCACUGCUAUCUUCCACCCAUGAUCCAUGAAUAGAGGGACACGGUGUGGUGGUUUAAUGUGGCUUUGACAGCAAAUCACAAGCAGCUGUGUCACCACCUUCUAGAUAGGUUUCAAGUCUGCCACAUUUCCUCCCCUUGGACAGUAAAAAUAUCCAACGUGACCCCCCCCCCCCUUUUUACCAGAACGAAAUUCUUAUUGUUUUGCACUUAUCCAAAGUC
rnacentral:lncRNA from 1 species